rnacentral:rRNA from 1 species
AUUGAACGCUGGCGGCAUGCUUUACACAUGCAAGUCGAACGGCAGCGAGAGAGAAGCUUGCUUCUCUUGACGGCGAGUGGCGAACGGGUGAGUAAUACAUCGGAACGUACCCUGUAGUGGGGGAUAACUACUCGAAAGAGUAGCUAAUACCGCAUACAACCUGAGGGUAAAAGUGGGGGACCGCAAGGCCUCACGCUAUAGGAGCGGCCGAUGGAAGAUUAGCUAGUUGGUAGGGUAAAGGCCUACCAAGGCGACGAUCUUUAGCGGGUCUGGGAGGACGAUCCGCCACACCGGGACUGAGACACGGCCCAGACUCCUACGGGAGGCAGCAGUGGGGAAUUUUGGACAAUGGGCGAAAGCCUGAUCCAGCAAUGCCGCGUGAGUGAAGAAGGCCUUCGGGUUGUAAAGCUCUUUUGUUUGGGAAGAAAUCCUAACGGAUAAUACCUGUUGGGGAUGACGGUACCAAAAGAAUAAGCACCGGCUAACUACGUGCCAGCAGCCGCAGUAAAAC